CGACUUAAUGUCACCAUU
rnacentral:snRNA from 1 species